rnacentral:rRNA from 1 species
CCCCCGGGCCCGUGCCCGCUGGAGACCCCAACAUGAACCCUGUUCUGAAAGCUUGCAGUCUGAGUGUGAUUCUUUGCAAUCAGUUAAAACUUUCAACAAUGGAUCUCUUGGUUCCGGCAUCGAUGAAGAACGCAGCGAAAUGCGAUAACUAAUGUGAAUUGCAGAAUUCAGUGAAUCAUCGAGUCUUUGAACGCACAUUGCGCCCCCUGGUAUUCCGGGGGGCAUGCCUGUCCGAGCGUCAUUGCUGCCCUCAAGCCCGGCUUGUGUGUUGGGCCCUCGUCCCCCGGCUCCCGGGGGACGGGCCCGAAAGGCAGCGGCGGCACCGCGUCCGGUCCUCGAGCGUAUGGGGCUUCGUCUUCCGCUCCGUAGGCCCGGCCGGCGCCCGCCGACGCAUUUAUUUGCAACUUGUUUUUUUCCAGGUUGACCUCGGAUCAGGUAGGGAUACCCGCUGAACUUAAGCAUAUCAAUAAGCGGAGGA